rnacentral:rRNA from 1 species
UGGGGAAUAUUGCACAAUGGGCGCAAGCCUGAUGCAGCCAUGCCGCGUGUAUGAAGAAGGCCUUCGGGUUGUAAAGUACUUUCAGCGGGGAGGAAGGUGUUGAGGUUAAUAACCUCAGCAAUUGACGUUACCCGCAGAAGAAGCACCGGCUAACUCCGUGCCAGCAGCCGCGGUAAUACGGAGGGUGCAAGCGUUAAUCGGAAUUACUGGGCGUAAAGCGCACGCAGGCGGUCUGUCAAGUCGGAUGUGAAAUCCCCGGGCUCAACCUGGGAACUGCAUCCGAAACUGGCAGGCUUGAGUCUUGUAGAGGGGGGUAGAAUUCCAGGUGUAGCGGUGAAAUGCGUAGAGAUCUGGAGGAAUACCAGUGGCGAAGGCGACCACCUGGACUAAUACUGACACUGAGGUGCGAAAGCGUGGGGAGCAAACA